ACACAGGAUUGCUUAGUUAGCGGCGAGUGAAGCGGCAAAAGCUCAAAUUUGACAAUCUUGGCGCCUUCGUGUGAUCCGAGUUGUAAUUUGAAGAUUGUAACCUUGGGUGUUGGCUCUUGUCUAUGUUUCUUGGGAACUAGGACGUCACAGAGGGUGCAGAAUCCCGCUGCGAUGACGAUGCCCAAUUCUAUGUAAGGUGCUUUCGAACGAGUCGAGUUGUUUGGGAAUGCAGCUCUAAGUGGGUGGUAAAUUCCAUCUAAAGCUAAAUAUUGGCGAGAGACCGAUAGCGAACAAGUACAGUGAUGGAAAGAUGAAAAGAACUUUGAAAAGAGAGUGAAAAAGUACGUGAAAUUGUUGAAAGGGAAGGGUUUGAGAUCAGACUCGAUAUUUUGUGAGCCUUGCCUUCGUGGCGGGGUGACCCGCAGCUUAUCGGGCCAGCAUCGGUUUGGGCGGUAGGAUAAUGGCGUAGGAAUGUGACUUUACUUCGGUGAAAGUGUUAUAGCCUGCGUUGAUGCUGCCUGCCUAGACCGAGGACUGCGAUUUUAUCAAGGAUGCUGGCAUAAUGAUCCCAAAGCGCCCGUCUUGAAC
rnacentral:rRNA from 1 species